CAGCAGUAGCAACAAGCAGCAGGGCAGCAGCAGCAUCAUAACAGCAGGUCAGCAGCAAAAGCAGUGAUAGAGCAAGGCAGUAGCAAGUCUGGCAAGUGGCAACAGCAAGUCAGCAAUGAGCAAAGAGCCACAUCAGUCUAUUAUUUCAAGCACUUCAUCAAUAUCAGCAUCACCAACUGCCAUAUUCUUCAAGUCUAUCAUAAUUCAUAACAAAAAUAACCAAGUUAAAAUAUAUACACAUAAUGAAAAUAAGUAACUUAUGAUUAGAUGUUCUUAUAUAUUACCCUCUUCAAGAAGCUCAACUUCCUCUAAACAUUCUUCAAUACUUGGAAAUGGUGAAGCACGUAACCAAUUUUGAGCACAAACAAGACCUUCUACAACUCGAGGAGUUAAUGAGCUCCUAAACUGACUAGAACCCUGCCCCCAGUGCUGAAUGCACUCUCAGAAGCUACUGUCGAAACAGGGACAACAAGAACAUCACGGGCAAUUCUCCCCACAGUAGGAAACCUUGAACAAUUGAACUUCCACCAGCUCAAAAUGUCAAAUUCAUCAAUAUCCUCCGCUGUAUCCUCCUCCAAAUAUUUGUCUAACUCUAUUUUUGCAUCUCCAUCUCUCUCACACUUGUGUUUCUUAUACUUACUCUUUAAGACUUCAAUCUUUUUAUGUUUGGGACUCAAUGGAGUUUUGCCAUCCUUACUUGAAGACACUUCCUCCCUAUUCACAUCAUUACCAGAAGAAACACGAUACUCCUCAUACAAAGCAUUCAAAGCUACCUUCACAUUAUCAACUAACUUUGAUGCAACAAUCGGGUCAUAAAUUUCAGUUAUCAUCCACUCAACAUAAUCAAGCUUAUAACGAGGAUCAAGGACAACGGCAAUAAAAAUCAGGAGGUUUAUUUUUUCUAGAUCACCCCAAUACUUUUCAUAUUUUUCUUUCAUUCUACAAGCCAUAAGACACAUAUCCACAUCAUCACUUGAAACCAAAUCUUUCAUAAGUACAGCAACACUCACCAAUUCAUGAAAAAACAAAUUCAAACUGACAUAUAAAGAGCCAGAGACAUGCAAGGUCAGAUCAUAAAAGGCUUGUAGAAAUUCAGAAAGUCUUCUUACAUUAUUCCAAUCAUCAGAAUUUGGGCUACCCUUACCAUCCCUCUCAUUCAAAUCAACUACAUAGUGAGGGUCUUCCCCAGAAUACCUCUCAAAAGCAUCUUGAAGCUCAAUAGCAGCAUUCAACAUCAAAUAGGUGGAGUUCCACCUAGUAGGCACAUCAAGGCACAAUCCCUUUUUUGUGUUGAUUUUUUCAUCUAAGACAUUUUUUAAACCUUUGCAACCUAGCAGGAGAUUGUUUGAUAAACCUAAUAGCAUGCCUAACACGUUGAACCGACUCAUUAACAGUUUUCAACCCAUCAGAAACAACCAAAUUGACAAUGUGUGCAACACAACGCAUGUGAAGGAAACGACCCUUAAGAACCCCAGUUUUCCACCCAUUUAUUUUCCUUCUCAUAUACCCAAUUGCAGUAUCAUUUGAGCUAGCAUUAUCAACUGUUAUGCACAUGACAUUUUCAAGCCCCCAAUCAAGCAAACACUUUUCAAUUUCUUUGCCAAUAUCAUCACCCUUAUGACUAGAAAUAGGACAAAAAUUCAGAAUUCUUUUGUGUAAUUUCCAAUUAUUAUCAAUAAAGUGGACAGUCAAGCACAUGUAAUUGAUUUGUUGUAUAGAGGUCCAUGUAUCAGUGGUUAAAGAAACUCUUGAAUUACACCUUUUUAACACAUUUUUCAGCUUUCGUUUUUCAGUUAAAUAUGUUUCAAAACAAUCUUUGGCUACUGUAAUUCGAGAAGGAACAUUAAAUCUAGGCUCUAUUACACCACAAAAAUGUCUAAAACCUAUACCUUCAACAAACUUAAAUGGAAGUUCAUCAACAAUCACCAUAAAUGACAAAGCUUUUCUAAUACUACCAGCAUCAAAUUUGUGGUAUGUCAACCCACUAGUACCACCACUUGGUUCUUUAGCACUUUUAAAUGAAAGCAAACUUUGUUUUGAAUCUUUAGGGGUGUUAAAGGGAUACUUACGACAUCGCGAAAUAUGAGCCCAUAACACACUAGUGCCGUUUUUCUUUGCCCCACACUUGUAGCUCAUCCCACAAUACUUGCAAAUUGCAUGCAUUCCAGAAGGUAAGUCUUCUUUAUCAAAAUGCUCCCAAACUUCAGAGCGUUCUUUCAUCCUCUUCCUUUUUGCUCCCUGUUCUUUUUUCUGAUUUUGAGAGACUUGGUCAGUCUCAUGUUCGGAUUGAGGUUGGUCAGGAACACCACCCACGUUGGUUGUCAUUCAAUAAUUCGUGGUUGAAUAACAAUCUGUAAGAAUACAUGCAAACUCAUAAAUUAAGAAUAUUGGAUCUUUUAAAGGGAAUAAUAGGUUGGGGCCGUUGUGCAUUAGUCAUGCAAACUGUUUUCUUGUUUAUGAGGCUUGGUGCAAAACUUAUUAUGAUAUUAUAUUAACAAUUGUUGUUAGAUGAAAUUAAGUUAAUAUUGGGUUUUGUUAGUUUUGUUACAUAUUUUUGAAUUGUAGUUAAUUUAUUUUAGUAAGAAUUACAAUGAAUUUAUAGUCCUAUAAAAAAAAAAA